rnacentral:rRNA from 1 species
ACGGGAGGCAGCAGUGGGGGAUAUUGCACAAUGGGGGAAACCCUGAUGCAGCGACGCCGCGUGAGUGAAGAAGUAUUUCGGUAUGUAAAGCUCUAUCAGCAAGGAAGAAAAUGACGGUACUUGACUAAGAAGCUCCGGCUAAAUACGUGCCAGCAGCCGCGGUAGUACGUAUGGAGCAAGCGUUAUCCGGAUUUACUGGGUGUAAAGGGAGCGUAGACGGCAUGGCAAGUCUGAUGUGAAAGCCCGGGGCUCAACCCCGGGACUGCAUUGGAAACUGUUAAGCUAGAGUGCAGGAGAGGUUAGUGGAAUUCCUAGUGUAGCGGUGAAAUGCGUAGAUAUUAGGAGGAACACCAGUGGCGAAGGCGGCUUACUGGACUGUAACUGACGUUGAGGCUCGAAAGCGUGGGGAGCAAACAGGAUUAGAUACCCUGGUA